rnacentral:rRNA from 1 species
GACGAACGCUGGCGGCGUGCCUAAUACAUGCAAGUCGAGCGAACAGACGAAGAGCUUGCUCCUCUGACGUUAGCGGUGGACGGGUGAGUAACACGUGGAUAACCUACCUAUAAGACUGGGAUAACUUCGGGAAACCGGGGCUAAUACCGGAUAACAUGUUGAACCGCAUGGUUCAACAGUGAAAGACGGUCUUGCUGUCACUUAUAGAUGGAUCCGCGCCGCAUUAGCUAGUUGGUAAGGUAACGGCUUACCAAGGCAACGAUGCGUAGCCGACCUGAGAGGGUGAUCGGCCACACUGGAACUGAGAUACGGUCCAGACUCCUACGGGAGGCAGCAGUAGGGAAUCUUCCGCAAUGGGCGAAAGCCUGACGGAGCAACGCCGCGUGAGUGAAGAAGGUCUUCGGAUCGUAAAACUCUGUUAUUAGGGAAGAACAAAUGUGUAAGUAGCUAUGCACGUCUUGACGGUACCUAAUCAGAAAGCCACGGCUUACUACGUGCCAGCCGCCGCCGUAA